UUUUUACUAAAAGUAUCAAAUAACGUUAAAAUGAAGAAUCGCGGAACAAGAGAGAACAGAAAACCCUUCAGUACCAUGAAUUAAUGUAUAAAACCAGGGCCAUAAGACACGCCCGAUAAGUAGAAAUUGCCAAAUUGUCCCCUAGGAUUUUAAAUUCUUACUCUGCAUUCAGCUGUUGUUAGGGUGACAAAGUUUCAAAUGUAUAUUUUAGGUCUUCCUCAUCUAUAUUUAAUUUAUUGCUCGUCAUUGUUAAAACGAUUGAGAUGCCAAUCAAAGCGCACAGCAGCCAAUCCAAGGCUUUAGAUUAGUCACGCUUGUUAAGUUCACGUGCUCGUGACUGAAUUCACCGCGUUCACGGAGUCUCUCGUCUUAAACAACAAAUAGUGUUUUAGCGACGUAAGUAUUACAUUUCGCUGCUUCAGUAAUUGUAAGUGGAGUUUUUGCAUUUCUUCUGCUAGCUAGAUUAUGGUCAUGGACCGACAUUAUGUCUGUGUAGUCAGCUAAUAACGUUUUGUUUCUCCAAGCGCUUGUAUGUAUAAAUGAUGAAUUUCAUCGGAUCACAACCCUUCCUUUACACUCCAAAAUUCAUGUCCAAACUGGAUCUGUUCUCUGAUGAUCUGCUAAAAGUGUUAACCAAAAAGGGUGGAGUGUUUAGAAAAAAGAUUCAAGAUGUGAUGCUGUCAAUGUCUCAGACCAAGCAAGAGUGCAUUCUCAAGGGGCUAUGCAUCUACCUGAAUGAAGAUGAAUAUGAUGGAGUAUUUGGAUGAUGACCCUGCAAGAACCGAAGCGGACAUAAAGAAGACCUUUUAGGGAUUCUGUGAUGUAAAGCAUGAAUUUGCUGAUGCAACAGAAGACCCUGAAGAUAUCUGCAUUGUGCUGGAAGAUGUGGAGGUGCUUUCUGGUUUAGGUAAUGUAGCAUUGGCUACAGCCAUGCUACUUGGACUAAUAUACUCUUUAAAUCUUACUCAUCCACAGGAGAUCCAUUACACUUUUAAGGUGCUCCAAAAAUGAUUCUCGAGCUGAACUUGUGUAAAUUGUCUGCCAAAGCACAGGCGCAGAAAACAAAACUCUUCACUUAGGUGUGUGGUGUUUGAGGAUCCCUUUGUGAAUGCUGUGUUUUAUUUCCUUGUAUGCUCAUGUGAUUUUGUUGUAUCUGAAUUUUUGCACGAUGAGCAGAGGUGAUUACGUCUCUCAAUCACAUUUAAUAUCAUGUUUAAGAAAACAAAAUAAAAUAACAUUUUGUUAUAUUCUUAUA